UACGGAGGGGGUUAGCGUUGUUCGGAAUGACUGGGCGUAAAGCGCGCGUAGGCGGAUCGGAAAGUCGGGGGUGAAAUCCCGGGGCUCAACCCCGGAAUGGCCUUCGAAACUCCCGGUCUUGAGUUCGAGAGAGGUGAGUGGAAUUCCGAGUGUAGAGGUGAAAUUCGUAGAUAUUCGGAGGAACACCAGUGGCGAAGGGCGGCUCACUGGCUCGACACUGACGCUGAGGUGCGAAAGCGUGGGGAGCAAACAGG
rnacentral:rRNA from 1 species